ensembl:snoRNA
AUCUAUUUGUGGUUCAUAAGUGUGAUGAUUGGGUGUUCACGCGUGUGCGUGACAUGUGCCUCCCUCCUGUUACGAUGCCGGCACAGUACCCAUCUGACA